AACGAACGCUGGCGGCAGGCUUAACACAUGCAAGUCGAACGCCCCGCAAGGGGCGUGGCAGACGGGUGAGUAACGCGUGGGAAUCUACCCAUCCCUACGGAAUAACGCAUGGAAACGUGUGCUAAUACCGUAUACGCCCUACGGGGGAAAGAUUUAUCGGGGAUGGAUGAGCCCGCGUUGGAUUAGCUAGUUGGUGGGGUAAAGGCCUACCAAGGCGACGAUCCAUAGCUGGUCUGAGAGGAUGAUCAGCCACAUUGGGACUGAGACACGGCCCAAACUCCUACGGGAGGCAGCAGUGGGGAAUAUUGGACAAUGGGCGCAAGCCUGAUCCAGCCAUGCCGCGUGAGUGAUGAAGGCCUUAGGGUUGUAAAGCUCUUUCACCGGAGAAGAUAAUGACGGUAUCCGGAGAAGAAGCCCCGGCUAACUUCGUG
rnacentral:rRNA from 1 species